rnacentral:rRNA from 1 species
GGGGGAAACCCUGAUGCAGCGACGCCGCGUGAGUGAAGAAGUAUUUCGGUAUGUAAAGCUCUAUCAGCAGGGAAGAAAAAAGACGGUACCUGACUAAGAAGCCCCGGCUAACUACGUGCC